AACGCUGGCGGCGCGCCUAAUACAUGCAAGUCGAACGGAAACCUUCGGGUUUUAGUGGCGAACGGGUGAGUAACACGUAAGCAACCUGCCUUUAAGACGUGGAUAACAAUUGGAAACAGUUGCUAAGACAGGAUAGGAAAUUAAGAGGCAUCUUUUAAUUUUUAAAAGACCUUUUUCGAAAGGUAUACUUAAAGAGGGGCUUGCGCCACAUUAGUUAGUUGGUAAGGUAAAGGCUUACCAAGACGAUGAUGUGUAGCUGGACUGAGAGGUCGAACAGCCACAUUGGGACUGAGACACGGCCCAAACUCCUACGGGAGGCAGCAGUAAGGAAUUUUUGGCAAUGGAGGAAACUCUGACCGAGCGACGUCGCGUGAACAAUGAAGUACUUCGGUAUGUAAAGUUCUUUUAUUGAAAAAGAAAAAAUAGUGGAAAAACUAUCUUGACAUUAUUCAAUGAAUAAGCCCCGGCUAAUUAUGUGCCAGCAGCCGCGGUAAUACAUAAGGGGCGAGCGUUAUCCGGAAUUAUUGGGCGUAAAGGGUGCGUAGGCGGUUUGAUAAGUCUAUAGUUUAAAUGCAGUGCUUAACGCUGUAGCGCUAUAGAAACUGUCUGACUAGAGUUAGAUAGAGGCAAGCGGAAUUCCAUGUGUAGCGGUAAAAUGCGUAAAUAUAUGGAGGAACACCAGAGGCGUAGGCGGCUUGCUGGGUCUUAACUGACGCUGAGGCACGAAAGCGUGGGGAGCAAACAGGAUUAGAUACCCUGGUAGUCCACGCCGUAAACGAUGAGUACUAAGUGUCGGGUUUCGGCUCGGUACUGAAGUUAACACAUUAAGUACUCCGCCUGAGUAGUACGUACGCAAGUAUGAAACUUAAAGGAAUUGACGGGACCCCGCACAAGCGGUGGAUCAUGUUGUUUAAUUCGAAGAUACACGAAAAACCCUUACCAGGUCUUGACAUAAUUUUGCGACAUUAUAGAAAUAUAAUGAAGGUUAUCAGAAUUACAGGUGGUGCAUGGUUGUCGUCAGCUCGUGUCGUGAGAUGUUAGGUUAAGUCCUAAAACGAGCGCAACCCUUGUCGUUAGUUGCGACCACGUAAUGGUGAGCACUUUAGCGAGACUGCCAAUGAAAAAUUGGAGGAAGGUGAGGAUUACGUCAAAUCAUCAUGCCCCUUAUGAUCUGGGCUACAAACGUGAUACAAUGGCUGUUACAAAAAGUAGCUACAACGUGAGUUUUUAGCCAAUCUCAAAAAAACAGUCUCAGUUCGGAUUGAAGUCUGCAACUCGACUUCAUGAAGUUGGAAUCGCUAGUAAUCGCGAAUCAGCAUGUCGCGGUGAAUACGUUCUCGGGGUUUGUACACACCGCCCGUCAAACCACGAAAGUUGAUAAUACCCGAAAGCGGUCGCCUAACUUCGUCAGAAGAGGGAGCCGUCUAAGGUAGGAUCGAUGAUUGGGGUUAAGUCGUAACAAGGUAUCCCUACCGGAAGGUGGGGAUGGAUCACCUCCUUUCUAAGGAAACAUAGAAUCAUCAUCUUCAGUUUUGAAAGACUUAGUUAGGUUUUUCUAAUUUGAAAAACUUAGUUAAGUUUUUCUCAUUUCUUUUAUUUUUUGGUAUCCUGGGCCUAUAGCUCAGUUGGUUAGAGCACACGCCUGAUAAGCGUGAGGUCGGUGGUUCAAGUCCAUUUAGGCCCACCAAACGUUUUGCUAAAAAAAACGUGUUAUCAAAAAAAAGUUCUUUGAAAAGUAGAUAAACAAGAAAACAAUAGCCAUUUUUAAAGGAAGUAAGGGCGUACAGUGGAUGCCUUGGCACU
rnacentral:rRNA from 1 species